rnacentral:lncRNA from 1 species
UAAGGAUCCAGUGUUGCUGUGAGCUGGCGUUGCCGUGGCUCUGGUGUAGGCCGGCAACUACAGCUCCGAUUAGACCCCCUAGCCUGGGAACUUCCAUAUGCCACUGGUGCAGCCCUAGAAAAGACAAAAAAAGAAGACUUGCAGGUCUCAAUCCAAAGAUUACUUCACCAGCAAACUUUCUUUAAUGACUUCUUCUCAAAACACAAACACGUACAGUUGCUCCUCUGUUAUAUUUCUUCAUAGCUCUCUCUUUUUUUCCAUCACAAUACUAACUAAUUUGCAAUUACAUACUUGUCUUUUAAUUUGAAUAAAUUCCUGGCUCUUCUACUAAGCUUAACCUAAAUGAAAACAGAAACCAUUUCUUUUUUGAUUAUAGAGGUACCCCAGGGCUUAUACCAGUGACUGGUAUAAGUUGUUUACUAACCAUAAUCUUAGAUAUGACACCAAAAUUAUAAGUGACAAAAAAGGAAAACAGAUACAUCGAACUUCACAAAAUUAAAAACCUUUGUAUUGUAAACCUUAUCAUAAAAAAAGUAAAAGGAAGGAGUUCCCAUCGUUGCUCAGUGGUUAGCGAAUCCAACUAGGAACCAUGAGCUUGUGGGUUCGAUCCCUGGCCUUGCUCAGUGGGUUAAGGAUCCAGUGUUGCCAUGAGCUGUGGUGUAGGUUGCAGAUGUAGCUCGGAUCCCGCGUUGCUGUGGCUCUGGCGUAGGGGCAGUUACAGCUCCAAUUGGACCCCUAGCCUGGGAACCUCCAUAUGCCAUGGCAAAAAGACAAGGAAAAAAAAAAAAAAAGGAAAAGGAAAACCUAUAAAUGAGAGAAAACAGUUACAAAUCAAAUGUCUCAUUAGGAUUUUUAUUUAGAAUGUUUAAAUAACUCAUAGCUCACUAAAAAAGGUAAGUAAUGUCCCCCAAAUGGACAAAGUAUAUGAAUAGAAAUUUCUGCAAAGAUGGUAUGCCAGUGAUCAGCAAGCACAUGCUAAAUGCAUAACAUUACUAAUUAGGGAAAUUAAAAUCAAGCCCACUAUGUGAUGUGACUUUAUGUCCACUAGAAUGAGUGUAAUAAAAAUUAAGGAUAAUUAGAGUCGCUGACAUGGAUAUGUACAGCUUGGAAUCCUCAUACAUUGCUGGUAGGGGUCUAGAAUGCUAUAGCCACUUUGGAAAACAGUUGACAGGUCUUCGAAAUGUUAAACAUAGAAUUAUUAUAUGACUCCUGGCAAUUUCACUGCUAAAAGAAUCCAAAACAGUGUCCACACUAAAUUUUAUACACAACCAUUCAUUAUAGCAAUACUCAUAAAGACCAAAAAAUGAAAGAACUCAAAUUUCCAUCAACUGAUGAAUAGAUAAACAAAAUGUGAUAUAGUUACAGAAUGGAAUGUUAUUCAGCAAUAAAAAGAAUGAAGUACUGAUACAUGCUAUAACACGGAGUAGCCUUGAAAAUGUCAGGCCAAGGAAAAUAAGCCUGUCACAAAAGACCUUAAAAGACAGCUAAUGCCCAUGAUUCCAUUUUUAAGAAAUAUCCAGAAUAGACAAAAAUACAGAGAUAUAAAGUAAGUUUGUGUUGGCCUCAGAGUAAUUAGAAAAAUAAUUGGGAGGAAAUAGGGAAUGACUGAAAAUGAGUACAAAUGAGUACAGUGUGUCUUUUUUUUGUACUAAAAAUUUUAUAAAAUUAAAUUGUAGUGAAGGUUGAACAACUGUGAAUAUACUUAACAUCAUUAAUCAUAUAUACUUUAAAUGGUUGAAGUGUAUCAUAUGAAAAUUAUAUUUCAAUAUUUCCAUUAAAAUUUUAAGUCAUGACAUGAAAAGACAAAUUUCUUAUAUUUAAUGUGUGGGAAGUAUGUGAAUUGAGGUAUAAAACCUGUUAACAUUUACAUACCCACAAAAAUAAGGCAGGACACCAGAGAAAGUAAUUACAUGAAUAAAUAUUUUUAAAAGUUUUAUAUUCAAACAUAUUUCCAAGAUAAUUAACUGUUUAAAGCUAAAAAAAUUAGCAAUGUGUUAUGAAUGUUAUACAUUGAAGUAAAAGGUAUAGUGACGAUAGCAAAAGAAAUGGGAGUGUUAAGAUUCUUAAAAUAUACAUGGUGUAUUAUUAUAGCACUUGAAAGAAGACUGCAGUAAGUCAGAGAGGUAUACUUUUUUUUGUGUGUAUGUCUUUUUGUUCUUUUAGGGCCGCACCUGCAGCAUAUGGAGGUUCCCAGGCUAGAGGUCUAAUUGGAGCUGUAGCCGCCGGCCUACACCACAGCCACAGCAACACCAGAUCCGAGCUAUGUCUGCAACCUCCACCACAGCUCAUGGCAACGCCAGAUCCCUAACCCACCGAGCAAGGCCAGGGAUUGAACCUGCCUCCUCGUGGAUUCUAGUCAGAUUCAUUUCUCCAUAAUUCUUAUAUGUACUGGGAAAACAAAAGCAGUUGUGUGCCUUGCUUCAUUACAACAUUAGCUUUAUUGCAGUGAUCCAGAACUGAGCCCAUAAUAUCUUCAAGGUGUACUUAAAAUUGAAAGUUUAAAAAAACAGGAAAAAUAUAUUAUGCUAACACUAAGCAAAAGAAGAUUGCAGUAGAUACAUCAGACAAAGUGGCUAUCAGGCAAAGAGUAUUACCAGAAGUAAAAAGGGUCUUUUCAUAAUUUUAAAGGAGUCAACUCAUAAAGCGGACGUAACAGUCUUAAACUAUUGUGCACCUGAUAACAGCGUUUCAAAAUGUAUGAAGCAAAAUAUACCAGAACCGUAAAUAAAAGUGAAUAAAUCAAAAUCAUAAUCAGAAAAUGUAAUACCUCUCUCUCAUAUCAAAUAAGACAAAUCAGCAGAAAAUCAGUAAGAUUAUAGACGAUGAACAAUAUUAAAAACCAGAUGGGCGUGUUUAACAUUUAUAGGAUAUGCUGUACAACUGGAGAGGGAUAUACAUUCUUUUUGAGUACACAGAGGACAUUUAGCAAAAUCGACCAUAUUCUGACCACAAUAUUUGUUUCAAUAAAUCACACUUACAUCUUCUUUGACUGUAAUAAAAUCCAAUUAAAAAUCAAUAACAAAAGAUAUCUGAAAUUUGAUAUCCAAAUUUUGAAAACAAAAUUGCACUUCUCAAUAACCCAUGGCCAAAAAAUAAAUCGAGAGGGAAAUUAAGAAGUGUUUUGGACUGAAAGAAAAUGAAAAAAAAAA